rnacentral:rRNA from 1 species
AAACCAACAGGGAUUGCCUUAGUAGCGGCGAGUGAACCGGCAAAAGCUCAGAUUUGAAAGCCUCUUUUGGCAUUGUAUUCUGAAGCCUUGGUCCUGGGACCUGGUGCUUAAGUCUUCUGGAAAGGAGCGCCAUGGAGGGUGAUAGCCCCGUGAAGCACUAACCCCAUUGUAGGAUCUUGGCAUGGAGUCGAGUUGUUUGGGAAUGCAGCUCAAAUGGGUGGUAUGCUCCAUCUAAAGCUAAAUAUCUGCGAGAGACCGAUAGCGAACAAGUACUGUGAAGGAAAGAUGAAAAGAACUUUGAAAAGAGAGUGAAAUAGUACGUGAAAUUGUUGAAAUGGAAGGAUAGGCCGCUAACCACGCAGAGUCGUGUUUAGGGGGAGGACAAAAGCUGUAUACUUCAUCAUUCUUCGGAGUGAUGUCGUUGCGGUGCCAUACUCCCACCUGGGCGCGAGGAUCUAAGACUCUGCUAAAUGGUGGUCUAUCAC